GUGUUGUGUGAAAGGAUAGAAAGUACCCCCACCCUCCACCCCUUGACAAGGAUGGAAGAGACCCUUGGUCCUAAGAACACACAUAUUUUUAAGGCAUUGCCAUCUACUUUGUGGUUUCUAGAAUUAAUUUGA